GGACCCAUAGUGUAGUGGUUAGCACGCAGGAUUUUGACUAUAUAUGUUAUCCUUCCUGAGUCCCAAGUUCAAUCCUUGGUGGGUUCA